UUCUAUUCUUUUGUUUUAGUUUGAUUUUUUUCCAAUUUGGGCUUUAAGCUAUAUUUGGGCUUUAAUUUAGCUAAUGGGCCGAUUUUUAUUUCUAAAUGGGCUGUUGUUUAAUAAAACUUAUGGGCUCAAUUUAUGUAUUAUGCUUGGGCCUUAUUAAGUCAUUGUAGGUUUUUCCUCAAAUUAUUUUCUUGGACAUAAUUAUUAUUUUGGGCCUAUAAAUGAUUUAAUAAAUUUUAUUAAUUUCUCCCAAGUUUAUGGUUUUGUAUUUUUUUGAAAUUAUUAAUUAUUUAUAAGUCUUAAAUUUAAUAUUAUUAAUUAUAUCUAUUAAGUUAUUAAUUAUGUAUUAAAAGUUUAUGGAUUCACUUAAAGAUAUUAUAGAAUUCUUAUUCGGGCAAAGUGUAUCAAUAGUUAGCAAUCCCCAUAUUUGUUUAGAAGUUAGAAUAGCACCAAGAGACCUAUUAAGAAUAGAUUUCUUGUAGGCUUGAGGAUCAGGAGGAUUAGCACUGCGUUUCCGUGACGGGUUUACGAUUAAACUACAGGCUUUGCCUAUUCAGGUUGAUCAGUUGGUGCAGAUGAGGCUGAGCUGAGGCUAAGGUUCCACGAUGUCUUUUGCUUCCGCUAAUAACUAUCUUGUCACCUCAUCCUCCAUCCCCUAAAUUGAGAAUUUCUAUUGUGUGGUAUAAUAUUAUCUUGUUGGGCUUAGACUCUUAACCCAUAUUUCUUUUAAUGAAGCCAUCACUGAUUAUGAUCAGAGUCACGAAACUAAACUUAUGCGAUCCUGGGUUCGAAUAUUGUCAUUUGAUUAGCAUCUCUUAAUGCCUUUCAUUGUAUCUC